AUUGAACGCUGGCGGAAUGCUUUACACAUGCAAGUCGAACGGCAGCACGGGGCAACCUGGUGGCGAGUGGCGAACGGGUGAGUAAUACAUCGGAACGUGCCCAAUCGUGGGGGAUAACGUAGCGAAAGUUACGCUAAUACCGCAUACGAUCUACGGAUGAAAGCGGGGGAUCGCAAGACCUCGCGCGAAUGGAGCGGCCGAUGUCAGAUUAGGUAGUUGGUGGGGUAAAGGCUCACCAAGCCAACGAUCUGUAGCUGGUCUGAGAGGACGACCCGCCACACUGGGACUGAGACACGGCCCAGACUCCUACGGGAGGCAGCAGUGGGGAAUUUUGGACAAGGGGCGCAAGCCUGAUCCAGCCAUUCCGCGUGCAGGAUGAAGGCCUUCGGGUUGUAAACUGCUUUUGUACGGAACGAAACGGUUCUCUCUAAUACAGGGGGCUAAUGACGGUACCGUAAGAAUAAGCACCGGCUAACUACGUGCCAGCCGCCGCGGUAACAC
rnacentral:rRNA from 1 species